GGUGACUCAGUGGUAGAGUGCUUGCCUUGCAUGCAUGAGGCCCUGGGUUCAAUUCCUAAGCACCA
rnacentral:tRNA from 1 species